rnacentral:misc_RNA from 1 species
GUGAAUCAUCGAAUUUUUGAACGCAAAUUGCGCUUCCUGGCAUCCCGGGAAGUAUGCCUGUUUGAGGUUCAGUAUUAACAAAAAAUCGGUUUGGUUGCAAAUUGUGACGUUUCCGGAGUUUGGGCUAUCUUAACUUUUUUGGUUAGGAGGCUUAAAAUUGACCUUAUUUUCGCAUUUUUAGACGUACAUAACUUUUUUUUUAUUCGUCUAUUCUUAUUGCCACAAUCUUAUUAUAUGCUAUCUCAUCGUUUGGUUUCGUGUCAAUAAAGUACUCAUGAU